ensembl:lncRNA
AGCCGACCCGCGCCCCGCCCCGCCCUGGCAGGAGUGGCCGCCCCGGGCUCGGGCGUGGCGGGGCUCUGCGGGUCCCCCACCCCCAGCGCUGGGCGGUCCCGCCCUGCCGCUCUCCCUCGGCCCGGCCUGGUCCCGAGCAGCUGGGGAGCUGAGACCUAAGGCUCGGAGGCCGGUCCCAGCCGAGAAGCCCCGGAGAAGGCAGGCUGGCGCCACGCCGCAGCCGGGAGCGCUCACCGGCGGGGGACUCGCCGCAGCCCCUUCCCCCUCGGGCCCCUUCCCCCUGGGGGGGCCCCUCCUCCGGGGGGCCCCCUCCUCCGGGCCUCCCCCGGCCUCCCUGAAACAAAACCCUGGUUUCGGGGCCCAGAGAAGACUCAGCAGCUUCUUCCAGGGAGUCCCUGGCCCCGCUGCCAACACCACCGGACCGGGAGCAGGGCCUGGCCCCAUCCUUUUUAUCAGGGGAUGGCGACGACAGAGGGCAAGGGCGAAAACUGGGGUGACUCGGAUGCGAGUGGAAGCCCCCGCAUCUGGUAGAAGGGAGACGCGGAACGCCAGGCGUUAUAUGUCCUAGGGAGAGUGCGGGUGACCCUCCGCAACUGGGGAGCGCAAGCCCCCGGGAGCCAGAUCAUCACGCGCCAACACUGGGAACACAGAGAUAACUAAGCACCACGCCUUGUUUCAAGGAACUCCAGGCGGAUGAGUGCCUUGGUGCAAAUGCUGCCCCCAGCAACCAUGCUGCCACAGCCUGUUCACAUGAACUCUCAGCUAAUACUCACACCCUCGUCUGUAAGUCACUUCCUGUGAAAGCAUCUGCCAAUGUUGAACACUAUACUUGAGAACCUAGGAGAGUAGAGAAUGCCUCCCAUUCUGAGAGAGCCUGGAGCACUUCAGGAAGCAAGAGGAAAAUUGUGCUCAAUGCUAAUUCCCUUCCAGCGCAGGGAAGACAAAAGUGGUUCAUGUACGAUCUCGGCCCAGGAGCCACUUCAUACCAGCCAGAGUCUGCGUGGGUACGUACUGGGGAGAGCAAGGGAGAUUCCAGCCAGGGGCCCUUCUGACUUUAUCCAGUGGUCUGCCCAAUUCCAGUGGCAGCUGGCAGGUGACCUGUGUGGCCAAAGACUGAUGGCUCCCUGGGCCAUUACAGAUUCUACAAAAGAAGAGCAGCAUAUCACCCAGUCUCUUCCUAUCAACAACAGACUUCUCAGCACCGGCUCUAAGCAGCAUCUACUCCCAGGAGAGGAAUGCAGGGCAAGAGCAAACAUGGUGAGGUGGCUGCACUUCUCCACCCUUCACUCGCUUCAUUUUUCCAGGGCUCUUCUUGCUCAAAUAUCAAGCAAAGCCCUAGGGGCUGUACCAAGAGGGUAACCUGUAGCCCAUCAGUAGGAAAUGACUGUGGCCUGCAGGUGCUUUGCUGGAGAGUUGCAGAAGGCUGGGGCCUCAGGGCCUUUUAGUUACUAGGAAAUAAUGGGCUGUGACUAUAUUAUAAAUGAGUCCAAAGGUUAGCAGGGAGCAGGUGGGCAGGCAGAUACCAGGAUCCAUAGAGAAGGAAGGGAAAGAUGGAGAGGAUGAGCACAAAUUUAAUGAGCACUCUUUAAUUUGCCCAUGGUCACACGGCUGGCCAGGCAGACUGAACCCAGUUCCACAUGACUUUCCCUAACCCUGUGCUCUUAUCUUACCCCAUCUGCUGGACUGCCAAGGCUCACUGGGUGAGUUGGUACACAGGGCAUCGCUGUAGAAAAAGGCACUGGAAGGUUUCGGGAUUUGGUAAAUUGACCCCUGGGCCUGAAAACUCAAGAGGAAAUUAGCAUUUGUUUUCUCUGUCAAUAAAGGACCUCAGUAUUUUAUUUCCUUGUCUCGGUAAAUGUAUUUUCCAGUGUUAGGGAAAUUUCCCCUGUACCUGCUUCCCUCACAGGGCUAAGUGUCCUAGGUCAGAUGUACAAAACAGGAAGCAGAGGGAUCUAGGGUCAUAGUUUCCUUUAGACUUUUCCACAUCGAAGGACACCUCAUGUUCCUGGACUUUGGGUAAUGCUUAGUGAGAUAAAUCAAACACACAAGCUUAAAUAUCACACGGUUUCUCUUAUAUGAGACACCCAAAGUAUAAAUAAUGUGAAGAGCAACAUAAAAGAUGGAUAAUAGGAAAACAGGGAGGUCUUUUGCAAAUGGGAAGAGGAUAGAGAUGGAGGAGGAGAGUGGGAAGGAAAGGGGAAAGGAAGAAAAAAGAAUUAAGAUGCGUCACAUACAUUUACCAGCUCCCCAAAAUGAAUGUAAGCAUUAUGAACCACAGACAUGUAC